rnacentral:rRNA from 1 species
UACAGAGGUCUCAAGCGUUGUUCGGAUUCAUUGGGCGUAAAGGGUGCGUAGGUGGCGUCGUAAGUCAGGUGUGAAAUUUCGGAGCUUAACUUCGAAACUGCAUUUGAUACUGCGGUGCUUGAGGACUGGAGAGGAGACUGGAAUUUACGGUGUAGCGGUGAAAUGCGUAGAUAUCGUAAGGAAGACCAGUGGCGAAGGCGGGUCUCUGGACAGUUCCUGACGCUGAGGCACGAAGGUCAGGGGAGCAAACGGG